UCGAGCGAACGUAUUAGCGGAAGUUUUCGGAUGGAAGCGGAUAUGACUUAGCGGCGGACGGGUGAGUAACGCGUGGAUAACCUGCCUCAUACAGGGGGAUAACAGUUAGAAAUGACUGCUAAUACCGCAUAAGCGCACAGGACCGCAUGGUCCGGUGUGAAAAACUCCGGUGGUAUGGGAUGGAUCCGCGUCUGAUUAGCUGGUUGGUGAGGUAACGGCCCACCAAGGCGACGAUGCGUAGCCGACCUGAGAGGGUGAUCGGCCACAUUGGGACUGAGAUACGGCCCAGACUCCUACGGGAGGCAGCAGUGGGGAAUAUUGGGCAAUGGAGGAAACUCUGACCCAGCAAUGCCGCGUGAAUGAAGAAGGUCUUCGGAUUGUAAAGUUCUUUAGUCAGGGAAGAAGUCAAUGACGGUACCUGAAGAAUAAGCUCCGGCUAACUACGUGCCAGCAGCCGCGGUAAUACGUAGGGAGCAAGCGUUGUUCGGAAUGACUAGGCGUAAAGGGUGCGUAGGCGGUUGUACAAGUUAGAAGUGAAAUACCCAGGGCUUAACUCGGGUGCUGCUUCUAAAACUGUAUGACUUGAGUGCAGGAGAGGUAAGCGGAAUUCCUAGUGUAGCGGUGAAAUGCGUAGAUAUUAGGAGGAACACCAGUGGCGAAGGCGGCUUACUGGACUGUAACUGACGUUGAGGCUCGAAAGCGUGGGGAGCAAACAGGAUUAGAUACCCUGGUAGUCCACGCCGUAAACGAUGAUUACUAGGUGUCGGUGGGUAUGGACCCAUCGGUGCCGCAGCAAACGCAGUAAGUAAUCCACCUGGGGAGUACGUUCGCAAGAAUGAAAC
rnacentral:rRNA from 1 species